AUUUAUUUAGUAUAAAAAGUAUAAUUGACUUCCAAUCAAUAGGUUUGGCCCUCAAAAUAAAUA
rnacentral:tRNA from 1 species